rnacentral:rRNA from 1 species
GGAUCCAGACUUUGAUUAUGGCUCAGGACGAACGCUGGCGGCGUGCUUAACACAUGCAAGUCGAACGAGGAUCUGAUGAAGGAGUUUUCGGACAACUGAUUCGGAGGAAAGUGGCGGACGGGUGAGUAACGCGUGAGGAACCUGCCUUGAAGAGGGGGACAACAGUUGGAAACGACUGCUAAUACCGCAUGACGCAUAGAGGUCGCAUGAUCUUUAUGCCAAAGAUUUAUCGCUUCAAGAUGGCCUCGCGUCUGAUUAGCUAGUUGGCGGGGUAACGGCCCACCAAGGCGACGAUCAGUAGCCGGACUGAGAGGUUGAACGGCCACAUUGGGACUGAGAUACGGCCCAGACUCCUACGGGAGGCAGCAGUGGGGAAUAUUG